rnacentral:rRNA from 1 species
GACGUAGGGCGCGAGCGUUGUCCGGAAUUAUUGGGCGUAAAGAGCUCGUAGGCGGUCUGUCGCGUCGAUCGUGAAAACUUGGGGCUUAACCCUGAGCUUGCGGUCGAUACGGGCAUGACUGGAGUUCGGCAGGGGAGACUGGAAUUCCUGGUGUAGCGGUGAAAUGCGCAGAUAUCAGGAGGAACACCGGUGGCGAAGGCGGGUCUCUGGGCCGAUACUGACGCUGAGGAGCGAAGGCCAGGGGAGCAAACGGG